rnacentral:rRNA from 1 species
GAUGAACGCUAGCUACAGGCUUAACACAUGCAAGUCGAGGGGUAACAAGAGGAAAGCUUGCUUUCCUUGUCGACGACCGGCGCACGGGUGAGUAACGCGUAUCCAACCUGCCCCCAACUAGGGAAUAACCUUGCGAAAGUAAGACUAAUACCCUAUAAUUUCCUCAGAUGUCAUCUGACGAGGAAUAAAGAUUUAUCGGUUGCGGAUGGGGAUGCGUCUGAUUAGCUUGUUGGCGGGGUAACGGCCCACCAAGGCAACGAUCAGUAGGGGUUCUGAGAGGAAGGUCCCCCACAUUGGAACUGAGACACGGUCCAAACUCCUACGGGAGGCAGCAGUGAGGAAUAUUGGUCAAUGGGCGGAAGCCUGAACCAGCCAAGUAGCGUGCAGGAUGACGGCCCUAUGGGUUGUAAACUGCUUUUAUACAGGAAUAAAGUUAGCCACGUGUGGUUAUUUGUAGGUACUGUAUGAAUAAGGACCGGCUAAUUUCGUGCCAGCCGCCGCAGUAA